rnacentral:rRNA from 1 species
AGUGAACGCUGGCGGUAGGCCAACACAUGCAAGUCGAACGGCAGCACAGUAAGAGCUUGCUCUUACGGGUGGCGAGUGGCGGACGGGUGAGGAAUACAUCGGAAUCUACUUUUUCGUGGGGGAUAACGUAGGGAAACUUACGCUAAUACCGCAUACGACCUACGGGUGAAAGCAGGGGAUCUUCGGACCUUGCGCGAUUGAAUGAGCCGAUGUCGGAUUAGCUAGUUGGCGGGGUAAAGGCCCACCAAGGCGACGAUCCGUAGCUGGUCUGAGAGGAUGAUCAGCCACACUGGAACUGAGACACGGUCCAGACUCCUACGGGAGGCAGCAGUGGGGAAUAUUGGACAAUGGGCGCAAGCCUGAUCCAGCCAUACCGCGUGGGUGAAGAAGGCCUUCGGGUUGUAAAGCCCUUUUGUUGGGAAAGAAAAGCAGCAGGUUAAUACCCCGCUGUUCUGACGGUACCCAAAGAAUAAGCACCGGCUAACUUCGUG